rnacentral:rRNA from 1 species
UACGUAGGAUCCAAGCGUUGUCCGGAUUUACUGGGUGUAAAGGGUGCGCAGGCGGGUCUGUGCGUCAGAGGUUAAAUACUUCGGCUCAACCGAAGAAAUGCCUUUGAUACGGCAGGCCUUGAGUGUGAGAGAGGGUGGUGGAAUUCCUGGUGUAGCGGUGAAAUGCGUAGAUAUCAGGAGGAACACCGGUGGCGAAGGCGGCCACCUGGCUCAUUACUGACGCUGAGGCACGAAAGCGUGGGGAGCAAACAGG